GACACAUUGGGGGCAGUAGUCGCGGUGAGACGGGGGGGUAAAGCGUUAGCCGGAAGUAUUGGUCCGACGGGGGGCGUAGGCGGCAUGUUAAGGCUGUGGUUAAAUAGCCCGGCCUAACGGGGAAAAGACAAGUGAUACUGGUGUGCUUGAGGGUGGAAGAGAGAAGCGGAAUUCUCUGAGUAGCGGUAAAAUGCGUAGAUCUCGAGAGGAACACCGAUGGCGAAGGCAGCUUCUUGGUCCAUACCUGACGCUGAGGCGCGAAAGCGUGGGGAGCAAACAGGAUUAGAUACCCUAGUAGUC
rnacentral:rRNA from 1 species